AGAUUUAAAGCCGCGUUUAAUGACGCCCAAAAGGAUUUUUGGAAGGGGGUGCUCCGAUUCGGGGGCCAAUCAUGCAAUUUCCGAAUUCUUUGUCGGACAUCUCGACUGCCGUAACUGGCCGGUCGUUUCAGGUUUUCUCACCUGAAGUAAAGAUGGUGAGUGUGGGGGUAGGUACAAGGUCCGACUGGGUGAGAAAAUCCUGUCCAGGAUCUGGAACUUAUAUAGAGACAGAUGAGGCUGUCUUGCGAAGAAGGCAAAAGCAGAUAGAUUAUGGGAAAAAUACCAUUGGUUACCAGCACUUUGUCCAACAGGUUCCCAAGUAAGCAGUAACUGUUAGACUUCUACAUAACGAAAGCUUGGGUGGGCUCUUAUUGUGGUCAUCACUAGCAGUUCUUUUCAAAGUUCUGAUAUUUGGGCUGUUCAUUUUUGAAUCUGGUCUUGAGGUAAAGACCUUUGAAAGACUUGCUUUAACAGUUUUCUCUGUGCUCCUUCUUUGGGAGGCCUUGAGGUGCCUUUUAAUUUCUCAUGCUUCAUUCUAGGAUGGCUCGUCAGUCAGGUAUUCAUCCCUGUACUCCAAAUAAAUAUAAAAAGUACAGUCGUCGUUCGUGGGACAUGCAGAUUAAGCUUUGGCGAAGGGCACUUCAUGGUUGGGAUCCACCUGGACAUGAGAGGGAAGUAUUUCUAAUAAUAAAAAUGCUGCCCAACUCUCAACAAAUCUGAAUGACUCACAAUAAUCAAAUAAACAACAAAAACAAAAAUUACAAUAAAAGCAAUUAAAGCUAAAAGAUGGCAAAUGCAAUGAAGCAAGCAGUGUUACUCCCCUUCACCAAAGGCCUGGAUGAAAAGUUUUUCAGGCUCUUCUAAACCAGAGUGGGGGCCAUCCAGAUCUUGGGAUCCUUGUUCCAGGGAGCAUCUUAAUUGAAUUGGUGAAGCCGAUGCUAUGGGAGGCAGGCAGUCCCUCAAGUAACCAGCUCUAUGCCUUUAAGUAUACAUAACAACAAGCACCUUGUAUCAAACCCAGUUGCAAACUGGCAACUAGUGCAGCUUGCAAAGUAGAGAUAUUAUAUGGGCAGAUAGAGGCAUGCUUCAUUCUGGACCAAUUGGAGCUUUUGAGUGGUUUUCAAGGGCAGUCUCAUGUACAGUGUGUUGUGGAAGUCAAAUCACAAGGUGACAUGAGUAUAAAUGAUUGUCUGAAGGACCCCCUAAUCUAGGAAACAGUGUAAGGGGCACACUAGAUGGAGUUGUGCAAAAAUCUUUCUGGCCACAGCUAACACUUGUUCAUUAAGUAGGAGCUAUAAGUCCAGGAAGACCCUUAGAUUCCUAAUUAUGCUUACUUGGCUUGAGCAGAAAUUUGUAAAAGUAAAUUAAGAGACACCCAACCAUAUACUUCUCCGGUCAGAUAUUUUGCUAUCAGAAACCUAUUAAUAAAAUCCAUCGUUUGGCAGGUUCACUUUUAAACACAAUUCUAUAUUGUAAAUAGCCACCUUUAUUGUGCAAUAUUUACUGCCAGCACCUGGUGACCCACUUAUAAAGUAAUGCUCCCACACUAUUCAGGAAUUGCAGGCCUAGUCUCCAGUCCAUAUGCACUCUCCUUGGUAUUCCUUAUCACCAUGGAGACAGAGUUAAUUGUCAACAGAGUUGUCAUGCUCUUCAGUGAGAGCAAAUGAUUCUGGUGCCCAUCAGAGGCUGGGAGUAUUUUGCACUAUAUUAAGGUGGAAAAUGAGAAGGAUCACAUAUAUGAGAAAAGAAGGAAGAAAUUUCUGGAUUGUCCUCUUCUGGCCAUUUAUAUCCGCUGCUUCAGGAUACACUCUCCAACAUGGAACAUUUCAAGGAAGAUGCUGAAGACUGUCCAUUUGACUCCUGGCUCUUGUUUUCUUCUCAUGGGAUCCCAACGCAGUCAGUGAUCUAAAAGAGAAGACUUAGAGCUUCUCAAGGAUUUCAAGGAUUAUUUUUUUGGCCACUGUGGUCCACCUGUAUUGUCACUCAAUUUGCUACAAAGUCCAUUAUUUUAUAACAAGAUUAUCUUCCAUUUCUAUAUUUGAUAGCUUUCUAUGUAGAGUAAUUGUUAUUUAGCUAGAACACAAAGCAUUUCCUAUUGACUCUUCAUUAUUCAUAUUCCUAUUAUAAAUGUACAAAGCAAUUGAUGAUUGCUACUAAAGCAUUAUGGCUUGUUAGUUGCAGUAAGAAAAUUGAGAAUCAAAGUUCUGAACUAUGUACAGGUAAUUAAAUUGCUCUGAGCUUAUGUUCUGUCACUUGGUUUGUUAUUGGUUAAUUCCUGUCUGCUUCACACAUGCCCUGUAGUUGGAUAAUAUAACAUAUUUUGUAUUUGA